ensembl:lncRNA
GCGAGGGCGUCCAGGGGCGGAAGGCGGUGCCUUAGUGCCUCCCUCCUUCUGACAUUGUAAAAGAACCCUAACUUUAUUUUCUUUUAAUAGUAAUAUAGAUGUAUAUUUGUGUUUUAUGUCCUCAGAUGAGGUUUGAAGUGUCUGUGGUGCAGCUGGCCUGGUCUGUCUCUAUACAGUCGAGGCUGCACCCACCUAUAAAAAGGUGGAGGCUCACCAGGACAUGCACACCUCACAAGUUCCUGGCUCUCUCGGCUCGGUUGAAGACGGGUUUCUUCGAGAAGGGGAGGGCAGUGAGGCACAGUCCCCCGCCCCCUGACGCCCCUCGCGAUGCCCCUCCUUCUUCGACUAACCCGCUGCAGAGGAGCCGUGAGAGCCAGGAACUUGUGAGUUUUAUGCGGUUUGAAGUGUCUGUGUGGUGCAGCUGGCCUGGUCUGUCUCUAUACAGUCGAGGCUGCACCCACCUAUAAAAGGUGGAGGCUCACCAAGACAUGCACACCUCACAAGUUCCUGGCUCUCUCGGCUCGGUUGAAGACGGGUUUCUUCGAGAAGGGGAGGGCAGUGAGGCACAGUCCCCCGCCCCCCGACGCCCCUCGCGAUGCCCCUCCUUCUUCGACUAACCCGCUGCAGAGGAGCCGUGGGAGCCAGGAACUUGUGAGUUUUGUAUGUCCACUCAGGCAUCAUUCAUACCUGGUCUGUAGGAAGUUCCUGUCAGAAGG